rnacentral:lncRNA from 1 species
CGACAGCAUGGAUAAGACAACGACACUGCUUUUGUUCUUCUUCUUGUUCACAUUCCUCACGACUUCUUUCUCUAAAAACCUAUGUAACCAAGAUGACAAAACCACCCUCCUCAAGAUCAAGAAAGCCCUAAACAACCCUUACCACCUCGCCUCGUGGGACCCUCGAACAGACUGUUGCUCCUGGUACUGCCUCGAGUGCGGCGACGCCACCGUUAACCACCGCGUCACCGCCCUAACCAUAUUUUCCGGUCAGAUCUCCGGUCAGAUCCCGCCAGAGGUUGGUGACUUGUCGUAUCUACAGACCCUUGUCUUCCGCAAACUCACUAACCUCACCGGUCAGAUCCCACGCACCAUCGCCAAGCUCAAGUAUCUCCGGAGCCUCAGGCUCAGCUGGACGAAUCUGACCGGUCCAGUUCCUGGUUUUCUCAGUGAGCUCAAGAAUCUCCAGUGGGUAGACCUUUCCUUCAAUGAUCUCUCUGGUUCAAUACCGAGUUCUCUGUCUUUGUUACCUAAUCUUGUGUCCCUUGAUCUCAGCAGGAACAAGCUUACAGGUAAAUAAACUCUGUUUUUUACUUUUUUGCCUUUCUUUCUAAAUCUGAUCAAGAAACUUUUCAUGCAAGCAGGUUCUAUACCAGAGUCAUUUGGGUCGUUUCCAGCAAAAGUACCUGAUCUUUACCUAUCACACAACCAGCUCUCCGGUUAUAUACCAAAAACACUAGGCAAUCUUGAUUUUAGCAAGAUAGAUUUCUCUCGGAACAAGCUCGGAGGCGAAGCUUCGAUGUUGUUUGGAGCCAACAAAACGACGUGGUACAUUGAUUUAUCAAGAAACAUGUUACAGUUCGAUCUCUCUAGAGUUGUGAUCCCUAAGACACUUGGUAUCUUGGACUUGAACCACAACGGAAUCACAGGGAAUAUCCCGGUUCAAUGGACCGAAGCUCCUCUUCAGUUCUUCAAUGUUAGCUAUAACAGAUUGUGUGGACACAUCCCCACAGGAGGGACACUUCAGGAAUUCGAUACUUAUUCCUAUUUUCACAACAAGUGUUUGUGUGGUGCACCUCUUGAUAGUUGCAAGUAAAAGAUUCAAGCAGCCAAGCUAUUAUUAUUAUACUUCUACAAAUAAUCCAAUAAGUCUAUAGACAACUGUAUCUUUAUUUGGAUUGAUUAAUAAAAAUAAUCAACCAAACUUGCUUUGAUAAAUUUGUUGUAUAAUCUUCAAAACUUUUUGUUAAUCAACCAAACUUGUUUCUAGUAUAUAUAUAUAUAUUUUUGGUGCAUCUAAAUUUUCGAAUCCAACCUCCAGUUUUUAAAUAAAUAAAAUAAGAUAUACUAUUCGUGGUUAUUGUUUCAAAUUUUAUCAAAAGUAAAUCUGAUAUGCUGAAGCUUAAAAGUCUUUCAUGCAUGUGGUAUUGUAAACCAUAAUUUAUACAACUAUAUAAGUAUACGAAUAAUUUAUUAGAAAAUAAAAUAAAAUAAGGGUUUAUUUGUGAAAUAGUUAAGUAAAUAUUUUAGUAAAACGUUAAAAAUAUAAAUUAUAUAAUUAAAUAUUAAUCAAAUAUUUUUUUAAAUUAUAUAAUUAAAAAUAUAAUAUUGAGUUAUUUUAAGAGUUAUUUUAAGAUUUAUUUUAGUAAUGAAUCUAUAUAUAUAAAAAUAUGUUUGCCUUUCUCCUAAGCUAUCCACGUGGAAAGUCAUUCUCUGACAGACCGACACGUGUCUCUGAGUUUUAUUUCUUUGGCUAGAUUUGAGUUUAACUUUGGGCUUAUACUAUGAACAAUUGAGAGGACUUUUUACUCUUUAUUAUUAUUGAAUGUGUUAAUUAUUUCUUAAUACAUAGUAGAUAAAACAAAAAAACACACAUUACAAUAUGGACAUGAUAUUAUCAUCAAAGCAAUAUUUACCAUAUGUACCUCAUCCUGUGAUAAUUUAUAAAGUAGCAACGAAUCUAUGAGUUCAUCAAAUUUGUAAUUACCUACUUUAGAAUUUUAAGUAUAUAAACAGUCAACAUUAGUGUGUUGAAUAUUAUAUUCAUAUGAUUUAAAAGCUUUUAUAAAUUUUUAUUUUUAAACAUACACCAAAAACUUUAUGAAAGUAAAUAUCCAUUCAGGUUCUCAACCACUUCAAAUACCACCAACACCAAAAAAAUUUAAUCAAGUGUAGGAAAACUAUAAUAUAUUUAAAACUACAAUAAAUACAUUAGUUAAUGAAAAAUCCUUUUUAAAAAAAUAUUGUGGAUGCAUACAUAAAUAUUAAGAGAAAUGUAUAAAAGGAAAUAAAAGUAACAAUAACUUGAAGAACAAAAUAUAUAAGACUCAAAAUAUUUAUGAUUUGUGGUAUAAGAUAUAUUCAACUUAUUGUCACAAAAAACCUAAAAAAAAAUACAUAUUUUAAGAACACUAAAAAUUACUUUAAAUUUUUUAACACUUUAAGAAAAAAUAUAAAUCAAUAAUAUUAAUAUAAAAUUUUAUUCCAAAAACUCAGCACUAAAUGCAUAAACAAAAAACAAACAAACCCUAAAUCCUAUAAUCCUAAGCAUUAUUCUAAACCAAACCUUAAACCCAACCUAAACCAAACGCUAAACCUUUUCUACUCCCUAAAAUCCUAAAUCCUACCUAACCCUAAGCCCUACAUAAACCUAGACCUUAACCCUAUCUAACCCUAAACCCUACAUAAACCUAAUCCUAAACCCUUCAUACUACCUAAACCCUAAAUCUAUCUAAUUGUAAACCUACCUAACCCUAAACGUAAAUCCUACCUAACCCUAAACCCUAUUUAACCCUAAACCUUUCCUAACCCUAAAACCCUACCUAAAACCUAACCCUAAACCCUAUCUAACCCUAAACCCCACCUACCAUAAACCCUACCUAAACCCUACUAACCCUAAACCCCACCUACCCAAAACCCUACCUAACCCUAAACCCUACUAACCCUAAACCCUACCUAACCCUAAACCCUACUAACCCUACCUAACCUAAACCCUACUUAACCUAAACCUUUUCUAACCCUAAACCCUACUAACCCUAAACCCUACUAACCUUAAACCCUACUAACCCUAAACCCUUUCAAACCCUAAACCUUACCUAACCCUAAACCCUACCGAACCCUAAACCCUACCUAAUUCUAAACCCUACCUAACCCUAAACCCAACCUAACCCUAAACUCUACCUACUCUAAACCCUUUCUAACCCUAAACCCUACCUAACUUUAAACCUCUUCUAACCCUAAACCUGACCUACCCCUAAACCUUGCCUAACCUUAAAUCCUACCUAACCCUAAACCCUUUCUAGCCUUAAAUCCUAUUAACCCUACUAACUCUAAACCCUUUCUAACCCUAAACUAUGCUAACCCUAAACCCUUUCUAACCCUAAACCCUAUCUAACCCUAAACCCUACCAAACCCUAAACCCUAACUAACCCUAAACCCUACCUAACCAUAAACCCUUUCUAACCCUAAACCCCUUCUAACCCUAAACCUGACCUAACCCUAAACCCUGCCUAACCUAAAUCCUACCUAACCCUAAACCCUUUCUAGCCUUAAAUCCUACUAACCCUAAACCUUACUAACUCUAAACCCUUUUUAACCCUAACCAUGCUAACCCUAAACCCUACCUAAUUCUAAACCCUACCUAACCCUAACCCUACAUAACCCUAAACCCUACUAACCCUAAACCCUACCUUACCCUAAAACCUUUCUAACCCUAAACCCUUUCUAGCCCUAAACCCUACUAAACCUAAACCCUACUAACCCUAAACCCUACCAACCCUAAACCCUAUCUAACCCUAAACCCUACCUAACCCUAAACCCUACUAACCCUAAACCCUAUCUAACCCUAAAUCCUACCUACCCUAAACCCUUUUUAAACCUAAACCCUGCUAACCCUAAACCCUGCCUAAACCUAACCCUAAAACCCUACCUAAACCUAACCAUAAAUUCCGCUAAAACUCUACCAACCCUAAACACUAAAAAAUAAUCUCAAAACUUAAAGCUAAAAAAACCUAAACUCUACCGCUAUGUAAUUUGUUGUUGUGAUAUUCAAAUAACAAAUUACAUAGCGGAUUUUAAAUCUUACAUCUGUUAUUUUAAUUGCCAAAAUAUUUUGAAAGUUGUAAUUUAUGAAUAAAAAAGGUAAAUUAUAUUUUAAUAACGUUAAAUUUUGUUAAAAUAGAAUGAAAAACUAUUAUCAUAAAUAAAUAAAGAAUUUUGAUGAAAUUUGAAAAUCUUCGAAUCGAUAACAAUUAAUUAGUAAUAUUUCAAAAACCCUUAAACUAUUAUAGCAGUAGAAUCUCAAAAAAAAAAUUAAAGUUCUCAAACAUUUAUUUGCCAAUAACCAUCCUUAAAUCUUUGCUGAUUCACAAAAAAUAAUAUUAUUUACGUAAAUUGGAAACAAGUUUUGUUUUUUGACUAGAGACCCAAGUUUAAAUUAUACCACUAAAAUAUUUUAAUAUUUAAUUAUUCAGAAAUAACAAGUUAAUGUUCUUAAAACAAUAACCAUCCUUAAAUCUUUGCUCAUUCAAAAAAAUAAUAUUUUUUACAUAAAUUGGAAACAAGUUUUGUUUUUUGACUAGAGACUCAAGUUUAAAUUAUACCACUAAAAUAUUUUAAUAUUUAAUUGUUCAGAAAUAUAUAUAUUUAUAUAUUCGAGAGUAUACAAUGCAUAGAUGAUACUAAACUGAUCGCAAGAAUUCUUUUUGGAAAACACAAUAUAACUAGUAUAGUAUUCAAAGAACUUUUCAAAAAUUUAGGAAAAUUUUUAAGCUCGCAUCGCAGGUAAAGCACCUAGUAGUUAAGUAAAAAAAGGAAAUUAGUUUUGUAGAGAAAAAGUAGAGCGAGAUAGGAAGAAAAAAGAAGAUAGAUGGUGAAAUUUUAGUUAAAUAGUGAAUUAUGGUUUUUUUUGGUAUUAUCUCACCCAAUUUUCCAUAAAAUAAAUAGACGGAAAAACCCUUUUUCAAAAAAAGAAGCCGUGAUGGAGAGUAGUAGUACUCAAGUGGCACAUGUGGACAGCCACUAGUUUUGCACUAGCCAACCAAAUUCAACACCGACAUCUUGAGCAUACGUAUUGACUAUAAUUAAGGUUCCUAUCAAAUCAAAUCUCUAAUCUCUAGUGUGUUAUGUAUAUAUAUCACUGUCACACUUUCAAGAACAAAAACUCAAAAUCAAAACCAUACAACAUGGAUAAUAAAACACAUACGACACUGCUUUUCUCGCUCCUGUUUUUCAUCACACACCUCACGAACGCGUCAUCAAAAGAUCAAUGUAACCAAAACGACAAAAAGACCCUCCUCAAGAUCAAGAAGUCCCUAAAUAACCCUUACCACCUCGCCUCUUGGGACCCUAAAAGCGACUGCUGCGCCUGGAACAGCCUCGAGUGCGACGACGCCACCGUUAACCGCCGCGUCAUCUCCCUAACCAUAUUCUCCGCUCAGAUCUCCGGUCAGAUCCCUCCUGAAGUCGGUGACUUACCGU